rnacentral:rRNA from 1 species
CAGUCGCCACGGGAAUACGUAGGUGGCAAGCGUUGUCCGGAAUUAUUGGGCGUAAAGCGCGCGCAGGUGGUUUAAUAAGUCUGAUGUGAAAGCCCACGGCUCAACCGUGGAGGGUCAUUGGAAACUGUUAAACUUGAGUGCAGGAGAGGAGAGUGGAAUUCCACGUGUAGCGGUGAAAUGCGUAGAGAUGUGGAGGAACACCAGUGGCGAAGGCGACUCUCUGGUCUGUAACUGACGCUGAGGAGCGGAAGCGUGGGGAGCGAACAGGAUUAGAUACCCGUGUAGUCCCUGUCUCUUAUAC